rnacentral:rRNA from 1 species
GGAGGAUCCAAGCGUUAUCCGGAAUCAUUGGGUUUAAAGGGUCCGUAGGCGGCCUUAUAAGUCAGUGGUGAAAUCUUCUAGCUCAACUAGGAAACUGCCAUUGAUACUGUAGGGCUUGAAUUAUUGUGAAGUAACUAGAAUAUGUAGUGUAGCGGUGAAAUGCUUAGAUAUUACAUGGAAUACCAAUUGCGAAGGCAGGUUACUAACAAUUGAUUGACGCUGAUGGACGAAAGCGUGGGGAGCGAAC